CCAGUAUUUUCCUUUUCCUUUCUGUUAUACUAAAUCAUUAUUUAUUUAAUUACCUUAUUACCACUCAUAUCAUAUACUAAUACUAGUAUACUACUAUCAGGCUAUGGAUCUUGCGACUACCCUGCUUCUCCAAGGUACAUAUAUGAUAUAAUGAUCUGGAUCAUCAUCAAGUUGCCGCCCUUGCAAGUUGCUUUAUCCCCGGAGAUACGUCAAAUGAGCAGAUUCAUCUGCGAGCGGAACUUGCAAAACCCUUACAGCAACUCCAAGACAGUGCAUGAAGAAUAGCACAGGACAACAAAAAUGCAACCUCUUAUCGCAACAAGUGCAUAGAGAAUUGGGAAGAUAUAUGCACUUUAUUUGGUGCAGAUAGAGCUGUUGGGGAUGGUUCAGAACAACAUGAUGAGGCAGCGGACGCCAUGGAGGAGGAAAUGAUAAGUGAAGGAAAGAGCUCAUCCAAGGAUCCAACUGUUUCGGGCUCUCGCAAGCGCAAAAAGAUAGGCUGAUGCGGUCAAUAGUUUUGCUGAGUCCUUCAGAGAAUAUGUGCAAAGCAAAGUGAAUGACACCCCGAAACCCACUUGUCAAGAGAUAUAUACCGUUGUGUUUGAAGUAUAUGGCAUUUCUAGGAAUCAAAUUAUGAGGGCAGUAAAAAGGUUUAUGAAUGGUAAUCCCGACGAGUUUUUAAUGUUGAAAGAGUUAUCGGAGGAUGAGAAACUUGAUUGGGUACUCUUGUGCCUUGUUGAGUAGUUUGACUCACUUUCAUAUGUCAUUGUAGGUUUUUCUCGUUACUUUUAUCAAAUACUACUUUUAAAUGUCGCUCUCGAUGUUGAGAUAACUUUUGUUAUAACAAUUUUGGAUUGUUAGAAUGUCAAAUGCCUUUUAUUUGUUAAGGA